rnacentral:ncRNA from 1 species
UAAUUAGUUAUGAUGAGGAAGAGUAAUUGCAGGCUUGAAAUAAAGAGAGGGAAUGAUGGUGGAAAUUUUCCGUGAUGGAUGCGAUGAAGGUAGCCUUGGAGCUUUAAACCGAAAAUAUUAUAUAUGAGUAGGCUUUAAUGGAGUUCCCACCAUUAAAAGGGAAGUAGUAUCGGUAGCUAUACCCGUACUAUAAUGAGUGUGUAUUUUUGUACAAAUUUAGGUGGUACCACGGAGUUACAGUCUUCGUCCUAUUU